rnacentral:rRNA from 1 species
GACGAACGCUGGCGGCGCGCUUAACACAUGCAAGUCGAGCGAGAACCGGACCUUCGGGUCCGGGGAAAGCGGCGAACGGGUGAGUAACACGUGGGUAACCCACCCUUGGUACUGGGAUAGCCCGGGGAAACCCGGAUUAAUACCGGAUGGCCCAACAGCUCUUCGGGGCGGUUGGAAAAGGUAGCUUCGGCCUCCGACCAAGGACGGGCCCGCGGCGGAUUAGCUUGUUGGGGGGGUAACGGCCCACCAAGGCGACGAUCCGUAGCUGGUCUGAGAGGACGAUCAGCCACACUGGGACUGAGACACGGCCCAGACUCCUACGGGAGGCAGCAGUGGGGAAUCUUGCGCAAUGGGCGAAAGCCUGACGCAGCGACGCCGCGUGGGGGAAGAAGGCUUUCGGGUUGUAAACCCCUUUCAGGAAGGACGAAGCCACUCGGGUGAAUAGCCCAGAGGGUGACGGUACUUCCAGAAGAAGCCCCGGCUAACUACGUGCCAGCAGCCGCCGUAA